GGCGGCAUGCCUUACACAUGCAAGUCGAACGGCAGCACGGGGGCAACCCUGGUGGCGAGUGGCGAACGGGUGAGUAAUACAUCGGAACGUGUCCUGUAGUGGGGGAUAGCCCGGCGAAAGCCGGAUUAAUACCGCAUACGAUCUACGGAAGAAAGCGGGGGAUCCUUCGGGACCUCGCGCUAUAGGGGCGGCCGAUGGCAGAUUAGCUAGUUGGUGGGGUAAAGGCCUACCAAGGCGACGAUCUGUAGCUGGUCUGAGAGGACGACCAGCCACACUGGGACUGAGACACGGCCCAGACUCCUACGGGAGGCAGCAGUGGGGAAUUUUGGACAAUGGGGGAAACCCUGAUCCAGCAAUGCCGCGUGUGUGAAGAANGCCUUCGGGUUGUAAAGCACUUUUGUCCGGAAAGAAAACUUCUGCCCUAAUACGGCGGGAGGAUGACGGUACCGGAAGAAUAAGCACCGGCUAACUACGUGCCAGCAGCCGCGGUAAUACGUAGGGUGCGAGCGUUAAUCGGAAUUACUGGGCGUAAAGCGUGCGCAGGCGGUUCGUUAAGACAGAUGUGAAAUCCCCGGGCUUAACCUGGGAACUGCAUUUGUGACUGGCGA
rnacentral:rRNA from 1 species